AAUCUCGGCCCGCCGAGUCCUACUUUGUCGAGGUUGGGAACACAAUCACCGCUGGUAGGAGCGGGGGAACCACUUUCGGCGCGCUACGGCGCGUCUUGGGGUGAAGUUCGACCGGCUUCAAGCCGGCGGACCGGGCAACCUCAGCCCGAACCCGACAGCUCACCUCGUAGGCGCUGGAGGUCCCCUGU
rnacentral:sRNA from 2 species